UUUGGUUAAGUUAGAAAGGGCGCACGGUGGAUGCCUUGACACUAGGAGUCGAUGAAGGACGGGACUAACGCCGAUAUGCUUCGGGGAGCUGUAAGUAAGCUUUGAUCCGAAGAUUUCCGAAUGGGGAAACCCACUAUACGUAAUGGUAUGGUAUCCUUACCUGAAUACAUAGGGUAUGGAAGACAGACCCAGGGAACUGAAACAUCUAAGUACCUGGAGGAAGAGAAAGCAAAUGCGAUUUCCUGAGUAGCGGCGAGCGAAACGGAACAUAGCNUUUUAGUUUGGUUAAGUUAGAAAGGGCGCACGGUGGAUGCCUUGACACUAGGAGUCGAUGAAGGACGGGACUAACGCCGAUAUGCUUCGGGGAGCUGUAAGUAAGCUUUGAUCCGAAGAUUUCCGAAUGGGGAAACCCACUAUACGUAAUGGUAUGGUAUCCUUACCUGAAUACAUAGGGUAUGGAAGACAGACCCAGGGAACUGAAACAUCUAAGUACCUGGAGGAAGAGAAAGCAAAUGCGAUUUCCUGAGUAGCGGCGAGCGAAACGGAACAUAGCCCAAACCAAGAGGCUUGCCUCUUGGGGUUGUAGGACAUUCUAUACGGAGUUACAAAGGAACGAGGUAGACGAAGCGACCUGGAAAGGUCCGUCGUAGAGGGUAACAACCCCGUAGUCGAAACUUCGUUCUCUCUUGAAUGUAUCCUGAGUACGGCGGAACACGUGAAAUUCCGUCGGAAUCUGGGAGGACCAUCUCCCAAGGCUAAAUACUCCCUAGUGAUCGAUAGUGAACCAGUACCGUGAGGGAAAGGUGAAAAGCACCCCGGAAGGGGAGUGAAAGAGAUCCUGAAACCGUGUGCCUACAAAUAGUCAGAGCCCGUUAAUGGGUGAUGGCGUGCCUUUUGUAGAAUGAACCGGCGAGUUACGAUCCCGUGCRAGGUUAAGCUGAAGAGGCGGAGCCGCAGCGAAAGCGAGUCUGAAUAGGGCGUUUAGUACGUGGUCGUAGACCCGAAACCAGGUGAUCUACCCAUGUCCAGGGUGAAGUUCAGGUAACACUGAAUGGAGGCCCGAACCCACGCACGUUGAAAAGUGCGGGGAUGAGGUGUGGGUAGCGGAGAAAUUCCAAUCGAACCUGG
rnacentral:rRNA from 1 species